rnacentral:rRNA from 1 species
GACGAACGCUGGCGGCGUGCCUAAUACAUGCAAGUCGAGCGAAGGGAUGCGGGGGCUUGCACCGGAAAAACUGAGCGGGAAAGGGGAGAGAAACAUGGAUAGAAUCCGUAUCAGAGAGGGGGAAAAUCAUGGGAAAGGAGAUAAAAUAGCGGAUAAUAGCAAUAAGCGCGGGGCUGAAGUGAAAGAGGGGGUUGUGCUAACACAUAGAUAGGGCUGCGCGGUGCAUGAGCGAGUUGGUGGGGUAAAGGCCUACCAAGGCGACGAUGCAUAGCCGACCUGAGAGGGUGAUCGGCCACACUGGAACUGAGACACGGCCCAGACUCCUACGGGAGGCAGCAGUAGGGAAUCUUCCGCAAAGGGCGAAAGCCUGACGGAGCAACGCCGCGUGAGUGAUGAAGGUCUUCGGAUCGUAAAGCUCUGUUGUUAGGGAAGAAUGAUUGUGUAAGUACCUUUCCCCAUCUUGACGGUACCUAACCAGAAAGCCACGGCUAACUACGUG